AUUGAACGCUGGCGGCAUGCCUAACACAUGCAAGUCGAGCGGAUGAAGGGAGCUUGCUCCUGUAUUCCGCGGCGGACGGGCGAGUAAUUCCUAGGAAUCUGCCUUGUAGUGGGGGAUAACGUCCGUAAACGGGCGCUAAUACCGCAUACGUUCUGAGGGAGAAAGUGGGGGUUCUUCGGACCUCACGCUAUCAGCUGAGCCUAGGUCGGAUUAGCUAGUUGGUGGGGUAAAGGCCUACCAAGGCGACGAUCCGUAACUGGACUGAGAGGAUGAUCAGUCACACUGGAACUGAGACACGGUCCAGACUCCUACGGGAGGCAGCAGUAGGGAAUCUUGGGCAAUGGGCGAAAGCCUGACCCAGCCAUGCCGCGUGUGUGAAGAAGGUCUUCGGAUUGUAAAGCACUGUAAGUAGGGAGGAAGAAAAGUGAGUUAAAACCUGGCUGUUUUGACGUUACCAACAGAGAAAGCACCGGCUAACUUCGUG
rnacentral:rRNA from 1 species